GGAAAACCUUAACACUUGAGGGUAUUUUUCUUUUUGCUGUUUUUUGUGUUCUGAACACAAACGUUUGAUGAAUGAUGAUGUCAGGUGCUGCAACAGCAAGGUGCUUUUCACCGUUACAACUUCCUCUGUCCCGAUUUCUCUUCAACUUCCGCUCUUCUUCUGCUUCAAUAGCUAUUUGCUUUCAGCUUUUCUCAACAGAGGCAUCUCCUGACAAAGAGAGAGUGAGAGAUGAAGUCUUGAAGGAAUUUCUUGCUAUCAUUGAAAAUGAACCAGCUUCCAGUGUGAAAGUCGAUUGUGCAUAUACUGAUAAGAUGUGCAAGGCUGGAAAUCUUUCAGCUGCUAGUCAAAAGCUACAAAUUUUAAAUGAUAAGAACAUUGCCGUUACCCCUGAUGUGUAUAAUCUCAUAUUAGAGGAGGCAAGUCAAAAGAAUGACAUUGACCUUUCAUGUCAAGUUUUCAAGAAAUUACUGUUGUCCUGUACAUCCCCAAGUGCAACCUCAUGCCUUUAUUUUGCCAAGGCUUUCACAAAAGUAAAUGAUUGUGCAGAUAUACUGAGAUUUAUUAAAGAAAUAUCAGAGAUAACUUGUUCAAGUACAUCAUCAUUCAUAAACAGGAUCAUUUUUGCCUUUGCCAAAAGUGGACAGAAGGAUAAGGCCUUGGAGAUAUUUGAUCAUCUUAGAAGACAGGACUAUAGUCUGGACUUGAUCACAUAUAAUAUUGUUCUAGAUAUUUUGGGUCGUAUAGGCCGUGUGGAUGAAAUGCUUGAUGUGUUUGCAUCCAUGAAGGAAACUGGUUUUAUCCCAGAUACUGUUUCUUACAAUACUCUAAUAAAUGGCUUGCGGAAGGCUGGAAGAUCAGAUAUGUGCUGUGUGUAUUUUAAGGAAAUGAGUGAAAAUGGAAUUGAACCAGAUUUGCUUACAUAUACUGCAUUAAUUGAGAUUUUUGGCCGAUCAGGAAAUGCUGAGGAAUCACUGAAAUGCUUCAGGGAGAUGAAACUGAAGGGGAUCCUUCCUUCAAUACAUAUAUAUCGAUCACUAAUCCAUAAUUUAAAUAAAACAGGGAAGGUUGAGUUGGCAACAGAACUUUUAGAGGAGAUGAAUUCAUCAUCAACUUGUCUGGCUGGUCCAAAAGAUUUCAAGCGGAAAAGAAGGCAAAGAAACACUUGAGUCAAAUUUUUAGUUCAGCUGACUGAGGUCUCCAAGUUCAUAAGUUUACAUUGAUCCUCCAAAUCGUUGAGGACCUUCAGGAUGCUCUGCACAUUGAUCCAUGCGAUUAAAGCAUCUAGCCAGAUAUGCACCCUGUUGGGAAGCAACCUAAGAUACACCAAUACAUUAAAAACUUACUCCCCAUGCAUAAUAU